rnacentral:lncRNA from 1 species
GGGCGCGCUGCGCGGCGGCCCGCGCGCCCCGCCCCGGCCCUCGCCGCGCGCCCGCGCCCGCGCUCCUCCCUGCGCGCGCGCCUCCCCAGCCCUCCCCCUGCGCCCUCCUCCGCUCGGGGCCAGCGCGGCGGCGGCGGCGGCGGCGGCGGCAGCAGGAGCAGCCCCGGCUGCGGGUCGCGACGGCGGCGGGGCGCCCCCUCCCCCGUGCCGGGGCGCGGCGGAGGGAUGUGGGGCUUUGCGGGAGGAAGGUUUUUCGGCAUCUUCUCGGCCCCGGUGUUGGUGGCGGUGGUGUGCUGCGCGCAGAGCGUGAACGAUCCUGGGAACAUGUCCUUUGUGAAGGAGACGGUGGACAAGCUGCUGAAAGGCUACGACAUUCGCCUGAGACCGGACUUCGGGGGUCCCCCGGUCUGCGUGGGGAUGAACAUCGACAUCGCCAGCAUAGACAUGGUUUCCGAAGUCAACAUGGGCCAGGAAUUCUUCCCACUGUGAAAACUUCGUCUUGUAAAAUGGAGGGUUAUGCCAAGAUAAUAUUGGUGUUGGGCAGCCUAUAUAUAAAGCAUCCGAAGAAAAGGAAGAAAGGAAAAAGUACAGAAAAGGAGAAAAAAGGUACAGAAGAAGAGAAAAAGGUUAGUAAAAGGCAAGAUGAAGAGUAAUUAUUCCAAGGUUUUCUUGGUGUCAUCCAUGCUCCCCACAGUGGAAACAUUUAUCGAUGUAUAUCAAAGUGAAUUAAGAAAUGCAUAGAUGUGAAAAUGAAAACUAACAUUUUCCCUUAGACAAAAUUCAAACCUUCUAGAGAGUCAUUGUGAAAGCAAAAAAAAUCCUGACACAGGAUCUGCUCAGAACACGUGCCCCCGUCCCAGUGGCAAGGGGGUUGGGGGGUUGGG